rnacentral:rRNA from 1 species
GACGAACGCUGGCGGCGUGCUUAACACAUGCAAGUCGAACGGUAAGGCCCUUCGGGGUACACGAGUGGCGAACGGGUGAGUAACACGUGGGUGAUCUGCCCUGCACUUCGGGAUAAGCCUGGGAAACUGGGUCUAAUACCGGAUAGGACCACUGCCUGCAUGGGUGGUGGUGGAAAGCUUUUGCGGUGUGGGAUGGGCCCGCGGCCUAUCAGCUUGUUGGUGGGGUGAUGGCCUACCAAGGCGACGACGGGUAGCCGGCCUGAGAGGGUGACCGGCCACACUGAGACGGAGAUACGGCCCAGACUCCUACGGGAGGCAGCAGUGGGGAAUAUUGCACAAUGGGCGCAAGCCUGAUGCAGCGACGCCGCGUGAGGGAUGACGGCCUGCGGGUUGUAAACCUCUUUCAGCACCGACGAAGCGCAAGUGACGGUAGGUGCAGAAGAAGGACCGGCCAACUACGUGCCAGCCGCCGCCGUAA